rnacentral:rRNA from 1 species
GAUUCUGGCUCAGGAUGAACGCUAGCGGCAGGCUUAACACAUGCAAGUCGAGGGGCAGCGUGGAGUAGCAAUACUCUGACGGCGACCGGCGAAAGGGUGAGUAACGCGUGAGCAACAUGCCCGGUACUGGGGGAUAGUCGAUGGAAACGUCGCGUAAUACCCCGUAACAACAGAGGCCGCAUGACCUUUGUUUAAGAGAUUUAUUGAUACCGGAUUGGCUCGCGUACCAUUAGCUAGUUGGCGGGGUAACGGCCCACCAAGGCGACGAUGGUUAGGGUUCUGAGAGGAAGGUCCCCCACAUUGGAACUGAGACACGGUCCAGACUCCUACGGGAGGCAGCAGUGAGGAAUAUUGGUCAAUGGCCGAGAGGCUGAACCAGCCAUGCCCGCGUGCGGGAUGACGGCCCUAUGGGUUGUAAACCGCUUUUAUAUAGGGAUAAAGUCGGGGACGUGUCCCCGUUUGUAGGUACUAUAUGAAUAAGGACCGGCUAAUUCCGUGCCAGCAGCAGC